rnacentral:rRNA from 1 species
UACGAAGGGGGCUAGCGUUGUUCGGAAUCACUGGGCGUAAAGCGCACGUAGGCGGACUUUUAAGUCAGGGGUGAAAUCCCGGGGCUCAACCCCGGAACUGCCUUUGAUACUGGAAGUCUUGAGUCCGAGAGAGGUGAGUGGAACUCCGAGUGUAGAGGUGAAAUUCGUAGAUAUCGAAGACAG